rnacentral:lncRNA from 1 species
CUCCCGGGCGCCGGGCUCCUGCCGGACUGGACGGACAGACCGACCGACGCGGGCCACCGGGCUCUCCUCGCCGCCGGCGCGGCGGGCGCGGGGCCGCGCGGGGACGCCUGAUCUCUGCAGCGCGGGCGAGUGGCCGCGCGGAGCGGAACCAGCCAAAGGCGCCCGGACGCCUGCAGGUGAGAGUGAUUUCCCAGCGAUUGCUUCGGCCGGUACAACCAGAGAACAGGAUUCUUUUCUUUUUGGCUGCUAAAUGCCUCUGUAUUCCACACUUUCCAGUGAGGGGAGAAGGCUGGAGCUUCUUGGAUGAUGAUGGAUAUUCCGCUGGGCAGGAUGAGGGCAGAGUGUGUGACAUCAACACCACAAGGGUAAGAGCUGCCUGUCUGGUGUUUUCUCUGAUGCCAGCAUUUACCAAAGGAAGGGGAGAAAAACCUAGUGACAGAAAUGAGGGUUAAGCAUCUGGGAGACUCUUCAGUUUGUAAACAUCCAUGGGGCAGUUGGGGUAGAUGACUGAGGAAGGAAGGGAGAGGGCUGGCCUGGAAGGACUGGGUUGCUGUGUGCUGGGAGACACAGCAGGUCAACUUUGGAAGAUCCUGUUGUCCACAUGGCCCACCCUCUUUUGUGGUUAUAGUUCACACUUGAGGAAGUGACACUCCUUACUGUGACAAGGUUCCAUUUGUGUCCAUUUGAGUUAGCCUGGCCUGUAAUGAGUGCUAUGGUGCCGAACCUGAGAAGAAUCUCGCUCUGGUCCCAGAUUGAGGACUUAUUGGCAGUACUGGGCCCGGAGACACACUUUUGCUUGAGCUAUAUAGGUGGCUGAGAUGGUAAAGAAUCUGCCUCCAAUUCAGGAGACCCAAGUUCGAUCCCUGGGUUGAGAGGAUCCACUAGAAAAAGAAAUGGCAACCCCCUUCAGUAUUCUUGAUUGGAAAAUCCCAUGGACAAAGGAUCUUGGUGGGCUACAGUUUACGGGGUCCCAAAGAAUUGGACACAACUGCACAAUUGACACUUCCUAUAGUGUUAAAAACUUUUUGGAUCAAUUCUGAUUAAUGUUGAGAUAUCUUACGUAAAAAUGAGGAUUUCUGGGUUUUCCAGGAACACUGUAAGAUACACCCAAACUGGCCUUCUGUUCUCAAAAAGGACUCAUGCCGAGUAGUCUUUGCCUCUGAGAUAAGCCUGGGUGGUUCACUGCAGUCCCAACUAGCCCACUUCAUUUGUGUAACUUACUUGUUGGUUGUUUGGUCACUGGAGGCAUGUCAUUUCACCAUGCCUGAUCUACAGCCUUCUGCUAGCUCUUUCACAAAAACAGUGUUUUUGUUUUUUUUUUUUUAAGAACAGUUUACAGAAAAAUUGUGCAGAAAUUGCUGAGUUCCCAUGUACACCCUCCCCUUAUCCACACAGUUCAUCCUACUUUUCACAUCUUGCCUUGGUGCAGUGUUUAUUACAAUUGUUAGCCAA